UACGUAGGGGGCAAGCGUUAUCCGGAUUUACUGGGCGUAAAGGGCUCGUAGGCGGUUCGUCGCGUCCGGUGUGAAAGUCCAUCGCUUAACGGUGGAUCCGCGCCGGGUACGGGCGGGCUUGAGUGCGGUAGGGGAGACUGGAAUUCCCGGUGUAACGGUGGAAUGUGUAGAUAUUAGGAGGAACACCAGAGGCGAAGGCGGCUAACUGGACUGUAACUGACGCUGAGGCACGAAAGUGUGGGGAGCAAACAGG
rnacentral:rRNA from 1 species